rnacentral:lncRNA from 1 species
GCCUCAGCUCACCAGUGAGAGGAGGACACCAAUAAUGCUUCAGGGACACUACUGGGUCCCAGUGCCACAAGGGUGGCUCCUGGUGACUGGAGUAAAAGCCAGCAGCAAGAGGGACAUGGAGUGCUAUAAUACAACUAAAAGUGUAAAACUGGGGCUAUUAUCAGUGGUCAUAGAUGAGAGAUUUAGAGCUAACUGUGGCUGACCAAAAGCCAGGUAGGAGAGAAGGUAGGUAGCUAGAAUGAUAUGGACUGAAAUUUCCCCAUUAAGACCUGAUGCUGCCUUCCCCCUCUGCCAUGUUCUCAUCUUUACAUGGAAGAAGUGGUACAUCAAGUAGCACUGUAAGAAAAUAGAGAAAUCUAUACUAUUUAUAGCUCUGAAACCCUGUUUGAGACAGUUCCUAGAUUCCUGGGGUUUGAAACAAGGAUGAGGUCUGACCUUCUUCAUCCCAUUCCCUCCAGCUGCUGGAAGGAAGGAGAGCAAAAGCCAAGGAGCUCUUCAUCGGAGAUGCACAGCUGGGCAGCAGGCACAGUUGAGGAAGAAGUGUAAAGAAGUUCCAACUGCGCCCACUGUGCUGGGAAAGAGGGGGAACAACUCUCAAGAGCAGCAGUGAUAAGAUUGAAGGAUGAACACAAAUUUAUGUGCGGAGAACAUUCUGGCAGAAUUAAUUGCUGGGAAGGAGUUAGUAGAGGGUCUUCUUCCACAUGAGCACCUUACAAGAGGCCCUGCCAACAGGAUGACACAUAGCUCUUGGCCAGCCUAUGCUUCCAGAAGUUGUCUGUGGCAGCAUGGCCAAAGACAGGUCAACAAGCCCUGCGUCACCCUGGAAACACCAGCCCUUGAGCCAUCCCUGCUAUGACAGAGAUGACAAUUGUGCCUCAACACAUCUGGCAUAUCCAAAGCUCUAGGCUUAAAUUCGGUGCAAGGAGCCUGGCUCUCCUUACGACCUCGCAACUCAUAGGCUGAGGAACGUUAAAUCAGCAUUGGACAAUUACCUGACAACAUUAACUUCUCCAUCAAAGGUACACAAUUUUUUCUUACUGAUUAAUA